GAGGAAAUGGCUUGGAGGAAGAGGAGAGAGGAGGAGGAGGAAGAAGAAAGUAGCAUUUGUGCCAGGGGGUGUGUGAGCAGCAGCGGGCGCUUGUGACAACUUCUCUGGCGGCGGCGGUGGCAGCGCGUGUGGCAGGGCUGGCAGCGAGGACGGAGGGAGGGAGGGAGGGAGAGAAGAGAAAGGGGAGGGGGGGGGCUGGUGGAAAGGGGAUGUGUGCGUGCGUCUCUUUCUGAGCCUGCUGCCUGUGCCCAGUGCUGCUGCCUCUGCCUCCGCCACCGCCGCUGCCGCCGCGGCUGCCCCUGCUUCUCUCUGCUCAUUUCCUCUGGUUUUUCAGCCAGAGGUGCUGGAGACUCCAGUCUAUAAAUAGCAGGUUACAGCUCCUUCUACACGCACACACGCGCGCAUCUCUAUACACGCACCCAUGCGCGCACACACAAACACACACAUACACACACACUCCGAAGGAGGAAAGUCAAGCUAAAAGUCUGGUGCUACUGCCUGCCUACACCUCCGGCCGCCGCUGCAAGCCCCCAGCCCCAUCUCCCACUGGAGAGAGCCAAAAGAGAUGGUGUCAUCUGACAGGAAACCUGCUUCCUUUUGUGAAAAAUCAGACCAAGAUAUAAAGUCUGGACCUGUGAUUUCAUUGGAGUAGAGUCUGCUUGGAUGAGGAAUCUCCAAGGCAGGUUGGCAUCUUCUCUUAAAUUAUGAUAAUACAGAAUUUCCUAGGACUUGAAGAAGUUCAGUGAAUUACCCAGGGUGACAUAAUCAGUACAUGACUUUGUUGGACAUGAACCCAAGUUUUCUUGUUUGCAAUGCCAGCUCUGAUCAUAUGUCAUUAACUCCAUGUUACUCCAACCUCAUCUCACAUGUAUAUGUGUAGAGAUAAUCACAUAUACCAAACACAUUUAUAUACAUACAUGUGGGAAUCUAUGCAUCUGUAUUGUGCAUCUUCAUGUACUUAAUACAUAUUGAAAUCUUCUUGUUCUAAAAAAUAACCUCAUUCCAAUAAAGGGUAUUAGAUAUUAAUUUAACGUUAAAUU
rnacentral:lncRNA from 1 species